GGCAAACGGGGCGGGGUGCUAUACAUGCAAGUCGAGCGGAGAUUUGAAAAGCUUGCUUUUCAAAUCUUAGCGGCGGACGGGUGAGUAACACGUGGGCAACCUGCCCUUGAGACGGGGAUAACUCCGGGAAACCGGAGCUAAUACCGGAUAACACAUAUCUUCGCAUGAGGAUAUGUUAGAAGGUGGCUUUUAGCUACCACUCAAGGAUGGGCCCGCGGCGCAUUAGCUAGUUGGUGAGGUAACGGCUCACCAAGGCGACGAUGCGUAGCCGACCUGAGCAUGGGUGCAGUACGCUCGCCAAGGCACAUGCGUAACGACUGAAGGACAUCGGCAACUGACUGAGACGUAAGCCUACGGGAGGCAGACAGUAGGGAAUCUUCCGCAAUGGACGAAAGUCUGACCGGAGCAACGCCGGCGUGAGUGAUGAAGGUUUUCGGAUCGUAAAGCUCUGUUGUUAGGGAAGAACAAGUUACCUGUUAAAUAAGCAGGUACCUUGACGGUACCUAACCAGAAAGCCACGGCUAACUACGUGCCAGCAGCCGCGGUAAUACGUAGGUGGCAAGCGUUGUCCGGAAUUAUUGGGCGUAAAGCGCGCGCAGGCGGUUCCUUUAAGUCUGAUGUGAAAGCCCACGGCUCAACCCGUGGAGGGUCAUUGGAAACUGGGGAACUUGAGUGCAGAAGAGGAGAGCGGAAUUUCCACGUGUAGCGGUGAAAUGCGUAGAGAUGUGGAGGAACACCAGUGGCGAAGGCGGCUCUCUGGUCUGUAACUGACGCUGAGGCGCGAAAGCGUGGGGAGCGAACAGGAUUAGAUACCCUGGUAGUCCACGCCGUAAACGAUGAGUGCUAAGUGUUAGAGGGUUUCCGCCCUUUAGUGCUGCAGCAAACGCAUUAAGCACCUCCGCCUGGGGGAGUACGGUCGCAAGACUGAAACUCAAAGGGAAUUGACGGGGACCCGCCACAAGCGGUGGAGCAUGGUGGUUUAAUUCGAAGCAACGCCGGAAGAACCUUACCAGGUCUUGACCAUCCUCUGCUAACUUCUAAGAGAUAGAAGGUUCCCUUCGGGGACACGAGUGGACAGGUGGUGCAUGGUUGUCGUAAAAAACGUGUCGUGAGAUGUUGGGUUAAGUCCCGCAACGAGCGCAACCCUUGACUCUUAGUUGCCAGCAUUCAGUUGGGCACUCUAAGGUGACUGCCGGUGACAAACCGGAGGAAGGUGGGGAUGACGUCAAAUCAUCAUGCCCCUUAUGACCGUGGGCUACACACGUGCUACAAUGGAUGGUACAAAGGGCUGCAAAACCGUGAGGUCGAGCCAAUCCCAUAAAACCAUUCUCAGUUCGGAUUGUAGGCUGCAACUCGCCUACAUGAAGCCGGAAUCGCUAGUAAUCGCGGAUCAGCAUGCCGCGGUGAAUACGUUCCCGGGUCUUGUACACACCGCCCGUCACCCCUCAAGUUUGUAACACCCGAAGUCGGUGAGGUAACCUUUGGAGCCAGCCGCCGAAGGUGACAGAUAUGGG
rnacentral:rRNA from 1 species